rnacentral:rRNA from 1 species
UGGCUCAGGAUGAACGCUAGCUACAGGCUUAACACAUGCAAGUCGAGGGGCAGCAUGGUCUUAGCUUGCUAAGGCCGAUGGCGACCGGCGCACGGGUGAGUAACACGUAUCCAACCUGCCGUCUACUCUUGGACAGCCUUCUGAAAGGAAGAUUAAUACAAGAUGGCAUCAUGAGUCCACAUGUUCACAUGAUUAAAGGUAUUCCGGUAGACGAUGGGGAUGCGUUCCAUUAGAUAGUAGGCGGGGUAACGGCCCACCUAGUCUUCGAUGGAUAGGGGUUCUGAGAGGAAGGUCCCCCACAUUGGAACUGAGACACGGUCCAAACUCCUACGGGAGGCAGCAGUGAGGAAUAUUGGUCAAUGGGCGAGAGCCUGAACCAGCCAAGUAGCGUGAAGGAUGACUGCCCUAUGGGUUGUAAACUUCUUUUAUAAAGGAAUAAAGUCGGGUAUGCAUACCCGUUUGCAUGUACUUUAUGAAUAAGGAUCGGCUAACUCCGUGCCAGCAGCCGCGGUAAUACGGAGGAUCCGAGCGUUAUCCGGAUUUAUUGGGUUUAAAGGGAGCGUAGAUGGAUGUUUAAGUCAGUUGUGAAAGUUUGCGGCUCAACCGUAAAAUUGCAGUUGAUACUGGAUAUCUUGAGUGCAGUUGAGGCAGGCGGAAUUCGUGGUGUAGCGGUGAAAUGCUUAGAUAUCACGAAGAACUCCGAUUGCGAAGGCAGCCUGCUAAGCUGCAACUGACAUUGAGGCUCGAAAGUGUGGGUAUCAAACAGGAUUAGAUACCCUGGUAGUCCACACGGUAAACGAUGAAUACUCGCUGUUUGCGAUAUACUGCAAGCGGCCAAGCGAAAGCGUUAAGUAUUCCACCUGGGGAGUACGCCGGCAACGGUGAAACUCAAAGGAAUUGACGGGGGCCCGCACAAGCGGAGGAACAUGUGGUUUAAUUCGAUGAUACGCGAGGAACCUUACCCGGGCUUAAAUUGCAGAUGAAUUACGGUGAAAGCCGUAAGCCGCAAGGCAUCUGUGAAGGUGCUGCAUGGUUGUCGUCAGCUCGUGCCGUGAGGUGUCGGCUUAAGUGCCAUAACGAGCGCAACCCUUGUUGUCAGUUACUAACAGGUUCUGCUGAGGACUCUGACAAGACUGCCAUCGUAAGAUGUGAGGAAGGUGGGGAUGACGUCAAAUCAGCACGGCCCUUACGUCCGGGGCUACACACGUGUUACAAUGGGGGGUACAGAGGGCCGCUACCACGCGAGUGGAUGCCAAUCCCAAAAACCUCUCUCAGUUCGGACUGGAGUCUGCAACCCGACUCCACGAAGCUGGAUUCGCUAGUAAUCGCGCAUCAGCCACGGCGCGGUGAAUACGUUCCCGGGCCUUGUACACACCGCCCGUCAAGCCAUGGGAGCCGGGGGUACCUGAAGUGCGUAACCGCGAGGAGCGCCCUAGGGUAAAACUGGUG